rnacentral:lncRNA from 1 species
GUGCACUGGACAUCAGCCAGGACGAGAUAAUGUAAGACAUCACAUCACUAAAUUCAUUUAGCCUAUCCUUAUUCAACUUAUAGUUGACACAUUUUCCGAUUACAACUUGGCAUAAUUAACCAGGCAAGUCAUUACGGAGCAAAUCUACAUUGGGAUGAUAUACACAACUGUUGAUGACAACCACUUCAAGUCCUCCAUCUGAAUUGGUCGAUUAUCCCUGUGUUAAUUAUUAGAGCUAAAUAAUGUACUUGAGUGUCAGCCAUUUAUGGUUAAGCCAUUCUGUGGAUUUUCAGUUAGACCUAUCAUGAUUGUAAUAUUUAUUUCAUCACUUUAGCAAUUCUCUCAGUUAUUUUAUU